rnacentral:misc_RNA from 1 species
AACGCACGAGACCUGCGGACCUGCGGAGGGAUCAUUAAUGAGAAGCUGCCCCUCGUGGGUAGACCUCCCACCCUCUGUGAACUUACCUUUGUCGCUUUGGCAGGCCCGUCCUCUGGACCGCCGGCUUCGGCUGGCCCGUGCCUGCCAGAGGAUUCCAAACCCUGUCUGUCAGUGUUGUCUGAGUCUAUAUGAAAUCGUUAAAACUUUUAACAACGGAUCUCUAGAUCGGAAGAGCACACG